UCCAGGCCGCAUGAGACGAAGCCAGCCUGCGCCUCUGCCAGGCAGGGCACUGAACUUGGGGUCUGGAGACCCAGGCUGGACUC
rnacentral:miRNA from 1 species